UACGGAGGAUGCAAGCGUUAUCCGGAUUUAUUGGGUUUAAAGGGUGCGCAGGUUGUUUGAUAAGUCAGUGGUGAAAGUCUGUCGCUUAACGGUAGGAUUGCCAUUGAUACUGUUAGACUUGAAUAUGGAUGAGGUAGGCGGAAUGUGUAGUGUAGCGGUGUAAUGCAUAGAUAUUACACAGAACACCGAUUGCGAAGGCAGCUUACUAAUCCAUCAUUGACGCUGAGGCACGAAAGCGUGGGGAUCAAACA
rnacentral:rRNA from 1 species